rnacentral:rRNA from 1 species
AUUGAACGCUGGCGGCAGGCCUAACACAUGCAAGUCGAACGAGUGGCGGACGGGUGAGUCAUGUCUGGGAAACUGCCUGACGGAGGGGGAUAACUACUGGAAACGGUAGCUAAUACCGCUUACCAUCGUAUGUGCCCAGAUGGGAUUAGCUAGUAGGGGGGGUAACGGCUCACCUAGGCGACCAUCCCUACCGGGUCUGAGAGGAUGAUCAGCCACAUUGGAACUGAGAGACGGUCCAGCCUCCUACGGGAGGCAGCAGUGGGGAAUAUUGGACAAUGGGCGCAAGCCUGAUGCAGCCACGCCGCGUGUAUGAAGAAGGCUGUCGGGUUGUAAAGUACUUUCGGCGGGGAGGCGUUACCCGAAGAAGAAGCACCGGCUAACUCCGUGCCAGCCGCCGCGGUAAUUC